rnacentral:lncRNA from 13 species
GGAUAACAAACUAUAGACACAGAGCCACUCUUUAACACACAUGUUGGAUUUAAUGCAUGAUUCAAUAUAUAUUUCGUAAAUAUGGAAUAAUAUUUGUGCUUGGUAGAGACACAGUAACCUUGGACAUGGUAAAGGAGUUAGUUGGCUUCUCUUACAUCUUUUCUUGCCAAGAAAAGUCUGGAAUCAUCAAAGACACCAGUGACCCCUUCAGCUCACCUUAGGCAGAUUCCAGAGACAGGAAUGGAAGCCGUCUGGUGUGGAGAGAUUUCACUGAGGAGAAGCCCUUCUCCGUCCAUGUCCAGACUGCUGAGAUGGGUUUGCAGGAGCCACUGCUUUGAAUUGGGAUCCCUCCUGUCUGCACAACAGGGAACGUAUUCGCUCAGGGAAUCUUCAGAAGGCUGUGCAGUCGCCCAGCAGGAAGGGGUGAAUGCCAGCAGAACUGGAAGGCUGGAGUGCAGUGGCACCAUCUCAGCUCACUGCAACCUCCACCUCCCAGGUUCAAGCAAUCCUCCCGCCUACAGGGACUAUUCACGUGUAGGAGGCAUGAAGGCCAGGGCACGUGAAAACACGCCUGCCACCCUGUACACCGUUCAGCAGGUCCGAGAAGGAGCUUACGUUUCCAGAGUAAGAGGAGAGGUGAACAAGCACACAAAAGGGGCUGCCUCCUCCCCGAGGCACGAGACAGGCAAGAUGACAACAGCUACUUGAAACGCUCUUUAAAGGGAAGGUGGCCUACAAAUUAUCCAGUUUGGUCUGAAACAAAUUAUUCAUGAGGAAUGCAGUGUCAGCAGGAAGGGGGCCAAGUAUUAUUAGUCGCUGACAGGAUGAGGCCAUAUCAGUAUCGGAUAAUUAUUCCAGCACUUCAGGAUGGAAAAGCACUGAUAAGAUGGGGAAUGGAGGGCGCCAAUGGAGGCCACAGAUGCCCAGCAGCAGAGAGACGUCCUGCGUGGUCUGUCAUCUGAAAAAUAUCUUUCAGGGACAUCUGAUGUUUCUCUUUCAAAAGAGGCAAAGUGGGUAUAUGGAAACAACCUGAAUGUCAGAGUGUCACCCAAGGUUCAUGUUCUCACGGCCGUGGAGAACAAGGACACUGAUAUAUGAAGAGUGAGGUUAAGAGUGGAAGUUUACGGCCAGGCGCAGUGGCUCACGCCUGUAAUCCCAACUUUGGGAGGCCG